GCCCACCAAGGCGACGAUCAGUAGCCGGACUGAGAGGGUGACCGGCCACAUUGGGACUGAGACACGGCCCAAACUCCUACGGGAGGCAGCAGUGGGGAAUAUUGCACAAUGGGGGAAACCCUGAUGCAGCGACGCCGCGUGAGCGAUGAAGUAUUUCGGUAUGUAAAGUUCUGUCGCAGGGGAAGAUAAUGACGGUACCCUGUGAGGAAGCACCGGCUAACUAC
rnacentral:rRNA from 1 species